UACGUAGGGUGCAAGCGUUGUCCGGAAUUAUUGGGCGUAAAGAGCUCGUAGGCGGUUUGUCGCGUCUGCUGUGAAAACGCGAGGCUCAACCUCGCGCCUGCAGUGGGUACGGGCAGACUAGAGUGCGGUAGGGGAGAUUGGAAUUCCUGGUGUAGCGGUGGAAUGCGCAGAUAUCAGGAGGAACACCGAUGGCGAAGGCAGAUCUCUGGGCCGUAGCUGACGCUGAGGAGCGAAAGCGUGGGGAGCGAACAGG
rnacentral:rRNA from 1 species